UACCGAACGGGAUCGGUGCCAAAGCUAACGCAUUAAGUAUCCCACCUGGGGAGUACGAUCGCAAGGUUGAAACUCAAAGGAAUUGACGGGGGCCCGCACAAGCAGUGGAGCAUGUGGUUCAAUUCGAUGCAACGCGAAGAACCUUACCUGGGUUUGAAAGGCAAGUGACAGUCCCUGAAAGGGGAUCUCUCCGCAAGGGGCACUUGUACAGGUGCUGCAUGGCUGUCGUCAGCUCGUGCCGUGAGGUGUUUGGUUAAGUCCAGCAACGAGCGCAACCCCUGCACUUAGUUGCCAUCAGGUAAUGCUGGGCACUCUAAGUGGACUGCCUACGUAAGUAGUGAGGAAGGUGGGGAUGACGUCAAGUCCUCAUGGCCCUUACAUCCAGGGCUACACACGUGCUACAAUGGUCGAUACAACGGGUUGCCAAACCGCGAGGUGGAGCUAAUCCCUUAAAAUCGACCUCAGUUCGGAUUGGAGUCUGCAACUCGACUCCAUGAAGCUGGAAUUGCUAGUAAUCGCGGAUCAGCACGCCGCGGUGAAUACGUUCCCGGGCCUUGUACACACCGCCCGUCAAGCCAUGGAAGCUGGGAGUACCCGAAGCCGGUGCGCAAACCGCAAGGAAGCAG
rnacentral:rRNA from 1 species